GCGUGAUCCCGCCCAAACGCGAACCAUCCCUUUGAUGACUUGUUAAUUGCCCGGCAGCCAUCCUGGCUACCAGAUCACUCUGGCAGCCUGGUUUCGGCAGCAGCUUGCGUUCCAGCUACUUCUGUUUACUUAAUAAGGGAUCCAUAGCGUGAGAGUUGUGAUUCUGGCAAUUUGAAUAUGCAGAAGAAAAGCCAUAAAGUGCUGCCUUUAGGUGAAAAGUGACUUAAUAAGGAAAGAAAAGAAAUUGCGUGACGAGGUUGCAAAAACCAAAGGUGGCAGUGAUCUUUCACUGUUGCAGUGGUUUGGAUUUAAACAUACUGGAUUGCAAAUGGAAGGGGAAUUUAUGAGAUGCAAACAAACCUCAGGAGCCUGUUUUUGGAUAAAGAAGCACAAAGCCAGAAGAGUUCCAUGAAUUGCCCCACAAGUCAAUCCUGUAUGGAGACAAAAAGAAGACAAGAUUCAGUGGGAGACUGGUGAGUGGACCACCACAGAAAUGGAGGACAGAUGAUAUGAUGGUUUGAAGCAGGCUAGUAAGGUAAAAAUAGAGGGAAUUGCAUAAACUUAAGGUGUUACUGGAGGUGGAAAUAUACAGAAACUGAUUUUUGACUGCUUUUGGGCGAUGAGCAUACCCCAAAAGUACAAUUACUUGAUUGAGCAGCUCAGAGGAUGGUGUUAACCUUCCCAAGGAUGGGAAGAAUCAGGAGGAAAUAUGAGCCGAUUUGAAUGUUUUCACCCUACUACUCUUUGUCCUUUAACCUUUAAUAUACGAUUGAAUGCUGUGGUCUUUCAGGUAUAAUCCGAGUUCUGGUAGUCUUUCAGAUGACUAAAGAAUUUAAACCAGUCUGUAUGUUAAGCAGCCACUGGUCUUAGAGCACACAACUACAGUGGUCAUCUCAUCUCAUUUUUACUCCAGUCUCUCACCAGAGUUAAAAAAGUUAACUAAUACAAAAGUGAAGUUGUGAUGAUGACCAACUUCAGCCUUGAGAGCUUACAACUUCUUGUGAAAAUUAUUAAUUGUGUUUCUACAUCUCUCUGUUUUUUAGUUUCAUUUAGAUGCAUUUGAGGUGAAUAAGAACAGGUCUUUUAAGCAACUUUAGUUAUAAAACAAAUUUACCAGAAUAUGCUUUGUAGAACUUUGGUUCUUUGAAAUGAGGUGUGAAUAAAGUUUCUGUGAUCAAGUACCUACUGGUUUUUAUCACAUAUAGAAAAUUUAUUU